AUACUUACCUGGCAGGGGAGAUACCAUGAUCACGAAGGUGGUUUUCCCAGGGUGAGGCUCAUUCAUUGCACUGCGGGUGUGCUGACCCCUGCGAUUUCCCCAAAUGCGGGAAACUCGACUGCAUAAUUUGUGGUAGUGGGGGACUGCGUUCGCGCUCUCCCCUG
rnacentral:snRNA from 1 species